CAGUAGCCACGGGAAUACGAGGGGGGCAAGCGUUGUUCGGAAUUAUUGGGCGUAAAGGGUGCGUAGGCGGCUUGACAAGUCUUGUGUGAAAUCUAUGGGCUCAACCCAUAGUCUGCACGGGAAACUGUCGGGCUUGAGAAUGGGAGAGGUGAGUGGAAUUUCCGGUGUAGCGGUGAAAUGCGUAGAUAUCGGAAGGAACACCUGUGGCGAAAGCGGCUCACUGGACCAUUUCUGACGCUGAUGCGCGAAAGCUAGGGGAGCAAACAGGAUUAGAUACCCGCGUAGUCCCUGUCUCUUAUAC
rnacentral:rRNA from 1 species